rnacentral:tRNA from 1 species
GCAUCGGUGGUCCAGUGGUAGAAUGCUUGCCUGCCACGCGGGCGGGCAGGUCCGAUUCUCGGCCGAUGCA